rnacentral:rRNA from 1 species
UUGGAGGGCAAGUCUGGUGCCCGCAGCCGCGGUAAUUCCAGCUCCAAUAGCGUAUAUUAAAGUUGCUGCAGUUAAAAAGCUCGUAGUUGAAUUUCGGAACCAAUAUGUUGGUUGUGCCUCGGUACGUACUGGCAUUGUUGGUUUCUCCCUUCUGACGAACUAUGAUGUCAUUAAUUUGGUGUCAUGGGGAAUCAGGACUGUUACUUUGAAAAAAUUAGAGUGUUUAAAGCAGGCUCACGCUUGAAUACAUUAGCAUGGAAUAAUGAAAUAGGACGUUUGAUUCUAUUUUGUUGGUUUCUAGGAUUGACGUAAUGAUUAAUAGGGAUAGUUGGG